CAUAUCCAGUGGCUCUCCAGGAGAAGAGUUGGCCCAUGCUAAAUGUAGGGCUUGUUUUCUGAUUCAUGGUAGUCUUGUGGAAGUGCAGAGCAAUGCCCUGAAUUGACUGAAGACCCCAUGAUGGUGGCUGUGUGCUGACCGACAAGCAGUGGUGGAAAUGGUGAGGGCCAGGAAUGACAUACAACUGUCUGAAAAAAAGCAGGCCAUUGAGGACAAUGAUGACACCUUUGCCAAUAUUGCAUCCAUCAGCCUACCACCAAUCACCCGCCUUUUGAAGAGGCACCAGGUAUCUAUGAAACACAUUUACCUGGUGCCUUUUGAGAGAAACAUCAACCGGGUGAAACAACUCUGGGCAGAGUGUGUUCAGAGGGUGAUGGUGCUUGAUGCUGCUGUGAACCAUCACAAUAAUGUUUCUGUUGAUGAAGCGGGCUUCAACCUGGCCAAAACUCAGUAACGUGGGCGGAACCGCAUUGGCCAACGGGCGACCGUCCAAGUACCUGGGGAAACAUCUCCAUGUGCACAGCAAUCUCUGAAGUUGGUGUGUUAGGAUGUAAGCCGUUGGAUCCUAUAACACUGCACACCUCAUUGUGUUUCUCAAUUAAAUUGAGCAGGCCUGUCAAGGUGAAGGGGUUACAUAUGUCAUUGUGUGGGAUAAUGUCAGGUUCCACUAUGCAGAGGUGGUUCAGGUGUAACCGGUGCUAUACUGCUCCACUGUAACUCUGCGUUGUGUGUGGUUGAUUGAGACUAUAGACGUCGACUUUGGAGAUCAGGUUGUUUUAAUUCAGCAGAAUUCACCCUCUGCAUCUUGAAUCCAAAAGAAAAUAAAGCACUUAUAGAACACAUAUGUUCUGCGAAUCAACACCUCUUUCUACAACUGAUGCACAAUACAAGGGACUGGGAUCAUUCGAGGAGCUAGCCAUCGUUCACACAUACAAUAGCCUGCUAAUACCAUAGCUAGCUAUUAACCACAUGUUGAAUUCAGAAUGUUAAUAUCAUCCUGAAAAGUACAAUUACAAGUGCAUCUUAACAAUACCAUCCACUUAUGAGUAACAUCUAAAUAUACAACAUUAUUCAUGAACAAAACUCUUGUGUGUGACUUUGUACUUAAAGGAAACAAACUUUUUUGAAGAUGACAGAAAAAACAUGCUUACCUCUCAUAGUGUAUCAAAAUGAUUUGAGCACGCAAGGCAAAGCGUAAGUACACACUCCCCUACUCCCAGGAUGCAGGCAUGCAUAAUAACAAAUCAACAUGCCAUAUUAAUAUAUGAACCUGGUUAAAGUAUUUCACAGCUGUUACACAUGCAUAGUUUCGGGCCCAUCCCUGAUUCAUGGCCCAUAAACCUGCCUACAUACUCUCCUUUCCUCAACCGUAUUGAGGAUUUUUUUGCAGCAUAAAGAUGGAAGGUGUACAAUCGCCAUCCCCAUGAACGUGCCACCCUCCUCCUGGUCAUGGAUGAGGCAUGCAACAACAUCAACGCAGACCAAUGUCAAGUGUAUUGCCUAAUGUGAAAACUGUGUAAUCUACUGUAAUUUACAGUGCUGUCGCAUAUUACUUUCAGCAUUGUAAGAGUGAUUUGAAACAUGUUCUGUAUCUUGGAUUGUUUGCUAUUGGAUAAACUAGUUAAAACAACUAUAUUAAAAAGACAUUAUGUGGUGUUUGUAACGGAGACGCAGAGAGUCAGGAAGCAGGUGCAGUCUGAGUUUAAUCGGAACAAACAUGGAGUUAAUACAAAAAUAGAAGUAGAGUCUAAACAGGAUGCAAUACUACCUAAUGGGUGAUACAACGGAGUGCUGGAUAAAGGGGAAGUAAUCAGGGUGAUGAUGAAGUCCAGGUGUGCCUCAUGAUGGGUUGCCAGGACCGGUGGUUCGCAGCGGAGCAGGGGAAGUAGACGUGACAGUGUUGGUGAUUAAACCAAUGUUCUCAUUACAUUUUACAAUACACGUAUACUUUGAAUCAAUGGUUGUGUGGUGAAAGCUGCCCACGAA